rnacentral:misc_RNA from 1 species
UCAAACUUGGUCAUUUAGAGGAAGUAAAAGUCGUAACAAGGUCUCCGUUGGUGAACCAGCGGAGGGAUCAUUAAAGAGUGUAACAACUCCCAAAACCUUUGUGAACAUACCACGUUGCCUCGGCGGCGCGCGGGGAGGGCUACCCUGUAGCUACCCUAUAGCCGCCAGAGGACCACGAAACUCUGUUUUUUUUUGGCACUUCUGAGUCAUCUUGAAAUAAGUUAAAACUUUCAACAACGGAUCUCUUGGUUCUGGCAUCGAUGAAGAACGCAGC